UUUUUUUUUUUUUUUAGAUUAAAAAAAGGUUAUAUGAAAACAAAACAGAUACCAACACAAUAAAACACAUCUGGAGGCCACUUGGUGACAUUCGGGCUUCUUUUUCAACUAUUAGCUUUCAUGGAAAGCUCUUACAGUACUAAAGCAAAUGUCAUAAAAGUAUAACAUUCAUUACAUAAUGUUGUCUAAACACUUGAGGCUGAAAUUCAAACCUGGCAGUGAAACUAAAGAGUAAAUAAGUACAGAUUGUAACAACAUAACGAUGAAAAGACACAAGUAUAAACAGCUGGUAGGCUGGCCAGGUAAAUGCCAUAUUUAAGAAGGAACACAGGGAGUUGUUACUUAGAACCUUAAGGCCAGCCACAGAAAAGACAGGAUUACAAUAAAAGUUGUCAAAAUUCAUAUCUUAUUUCUGAGUUAAACUGAUUUACAAAGGUGGCAAUCAGUCCCUAACAGUACAGUUCAUCUUACAGCCAAAUAGAAAAACUUGCAAUUUGGGCCGGGUGUGGUGGCUCACGCCUGUAAUCCCAGCACUUUGGGAGGCCGAGGUGGGCAGAUCACCUGAGGACCAGCCUAACUAAUGUGGUAAAACCCCGUAUCUACUAAAAUUACAAAAAUUAGCUGGACAUGGUGGCGGGCACCUGUAAUCCCAGCUACUCAGGAGGCUGAGGCAGGAGAAUAGCUUAAACCUGGGGGACAGAGGUUGCAGUGAACCGAGACUGUGCCACUGUACUCCAGCGUGGGUGACAGAGCGAGACUCUGUCUCAAAAAAACAAAAACAAAAACAAGAAAAACCUUAAAAUUCACAAAGCAUCAUGCUUGUCUAAUGUUUCCUGCCUUUGUAUAUACUUUUCCUUCUGCCUAAACUGGCCCAUUCUGCUAUUCUGAUACUGGCUUGGCCAAACUCCUAUUUAGUCAUUAAGACCUAACUCAAUCAUCUCUUCCUCUUUGAAGCCUCCUUUAAUAGUCCACACAGAAAAAAUAACUUCAGGCUUUGCCUCUGUGCUACUGCUAUAUCCAGUACAUUUCUCUAUUCCUGCCUUUACAACAAUGUAUUGCCAGUAAGUGCUUACAUGCCUUCCUCCCUUACAAAACACUGCGCUCUUGAAAAACUGAACCACUCCUAUGUAAUGUUUGUAUUCCCAGAACCUACCAUAAUGCCUGGCAAACCACAGGCACUCAAUAAAGGUGUGUUGAAAGGAAAACCAUGCCACCAAAUUGAAAUAAAAAUGGGAAAGCUUAACAUUAAAUGGUUAAC
rnacentral:lncRNA from 1 species